GCAAAUCAACCAGUUUUUUUGAGCAUUUAUCCAGUAAAGAUUAUUUUCAGUAUUCAAUUGUAGGAAAUAUCUAAGUUAUCUGAAAAUAACUUUUUCUUAAAGCACUUGCAUUAAUCAGGGAAAAAAGAAAAAUGUAUUAUGUCAAAGCAAGAAGUAUCGCUUGCUCUUGACAAAACAUCUACAAGAAAAAUAAAAAAAAAGGGCAGAAAAUUGACUAUAAUUGUCAGGAUUGCAUAUGAAGAGCAAAAAAAAAUUCUUGUAGUAGUGCAAAAGGUUUGCACAGACCAAUCAUAUGCUGCUGAGCUCACUAGCAAUAGGCCUUUGGUUACCAUGGUUGAGAGUAUAAAACUUGCCUAUGUGCCGUUCCUAUCAAAACUUAAGCUGAUUCACUGGUUCAGGAGGAUUGAAAAAUGCUUAGCCUAUAUGAAAGCAUGAAACACUGCUUACAAAUCAGGUUGUUGAUUAAAAUUGAAUGACAAGGCAAUGGACUUAAAAUGUAUGCUUAUCAAAAGAGUGUAGGAAACAAAGCCAUGAGCCAUCAUGUUAAUGUUAAGAAAAGACCAAAGAAGCUUAGUUAUAAGCACAUUUCAGAGGAGAUGUACAUUCCCAACACCAGUAUAUUAUUUGAUGUACAAUUUCAAAAUCAGUAUAUUAUUUAAUGAAAAUGUGGAACGAAAACAUUAGGAAAAUAUAUAAUCAGAGUAGUUAAUUAAUUUUCCACUGAUGAACAAGAGAGGCAAGAAAACAGCAUCUCCACACCAAAAGAUGCGAAACAAUUAUUAAGGAUAAUCUGAUAAUGGUAGACAUUGAUCUCAACUGAUGGGUCUAAUAAUCAACUUUCAUAAGAAUAUGUGAUGAUGGUAGUUUUAAAAAUGAGAACAUCUAAAGGAAAAUGCAGACAAUGUGCCAACAUAUACAUUUUUUUUUUU
rnacentral:misc_RNA from 1 species